rnacentral:misc_RNA from 1 species
GAUGAAGAACGUAGCGAAAUGCGAUAAGUAGUGUGAAUUGCAGAAUUCAGUGAAUCAUCGAAUCUUUGAACGCACAUUGCGCCCUUUGGUAUUCCAAAGGGCAUGCCUGUUCGAGCGUCAUUUGUACCCUCAAGCUUUGCUUGGUGUUGGGCGUCUUGUCUCUAGCUUUGCUGGAGACUCGCCUUAAAGUAAUUGGCAGCCGGCCUACUGGUUUCGGAGCGCAGCACAAGUCGCACUCUCUAUCAGCAAAGGUCUAGCAUCCACUAAGCCUUUUUCUCAACUUUUGACCUCGGAUCAGGUAGGGAUACCCGCUGAACUUAAGCAUAUCAAUAAGCGGAGGA